rnacentral:rRNA from 1 species
GACGAACGCUGGCGGCGUGCUUAACACAUGCAAGUCGAACGGUAAGGCCCUUCGGGGUACACGAGUGGCGAACGGGUGAGUAACACGUGGGUGAUCUGCCCUGCACUUCGGGAUAAGCCUGGGAAACUGGGUCUAAUACCGGAUAGGACCACUGCCUGCAUGGGUGGUGGGGGAAAGCUUUUGCGGUGUGGGAUGGGCCCGCGGCCUAUCAGCUUGGUGGUGGGGUGAUGGCCUACCAAGGCGACGACGGGUAGCCGGCCUGAGAGGGUGACCGGCCACACUGGGACGGGGCUACGGCCCAGCCUCCUGCGGGAGGCAGCAGUGGGGAAUAUUGCACGAUGGGCGCAAGCCUGAUGCAGCGACGCCGCGUGAGGGAUGACGGCCUUCGGGUUGUAAACCUCUUUCAGCACCGACGAAGCGCAAGUGACGGUAGGUGCAGAAGAAGGACCGGCCAACUACGUGCCAGCCGCCGCCGUAA